AGUUUUGUGCAGUGGCAGGGUCGUAGCCAAUGAGGUUUAUCUAAGGUGCAAUUAUUGCUGUUAGAAAGCCACAGAUGGUUCUGGAGACCAGAGCCAUGAAAAUCCUUGUUCUUGUGCAGAAAA
ensembl:snRNA U4 U4 spliceosomal RNA